rnacentral:rRNA from 2 species
ACAUGCAAGUCGAGCGGACUUGAUGGAGUGCUUGCACUCCUGAUGGUUAGCGGCGGACGGGUGAGUAACACGUAGGCAACCUGCCCUCAAGACUGGGAUAACUACCGGAAACGGUAGCUAAUACCGGAUAAUUUAUUUCACAGCAUUGUGGAAUAAUGAAAGACGGAGCAAUCUGUCACUUGGGGAUGGGCCUGCGGCGCAUUAGCUAGUUGGUGGGGUAAUGGCUCACCAAGGCGACGAUGCGUAGCCGACCUGAGAGGGUGAACGGCCACACUGGGACUGAGACACGGCCCAGACUCCUACGGGAGGCAGCAGUAGGGAAUCUUCCGCAAUGGGCGAAAGCCUGACGGAGCAACGCCGCGUGAGUGAUGAAGGUUUUCGGAUCGUAAAGCUCUGUUGCCAAGGAAGAACGUCUUCUAGAGUAACUGCUAGGAGAGUGACGGUACUUGAGAAGAAAGCCCCGGCUAACUACGUGCCAGCAGCCGCGGUAAUACGUAGGGGGCAAGCGUUGUCCGGAAUUAUUGGGCGUAAAGCGCGCGCAGGCGGUUCUUUAAGUCUGGUGUUUAAACCCGAGGCUCAACUUCGGGUCGCACUGGAAACUGGGGGAC